GGACCCGUAGCUCAGCCAGGACGGAGCGCCGGCCUGCGGAGCCGGAGGUCCCGGGUUCAAGUCCCGGCGGGUCCG
rfam:Sulfolobus solfataricus P2, complete genome.